UCCCAUACCGAACACGACCGUUAAGCCCUCCAGCGCCAAUGGUACUUGGACCGCAGGGUCCUGGGAGAGUAGGACGUCGCCAAGC
rnacentral:rRNA from 1 species